CUUUGGACGCGUCGUCUCCGAGGAACGUCACGAUGUGCGGGUGAGGCUUGAGAGAGCGGAGGAUUGUUAUUUCGUUCUCGAGGGACUCGGAUUGAGAAGGAAGACACGCGGCGAGGUCUACCGACUUCACGGCGAACACUCCGCCGUCGAGUUUGCUCACGGCUUUGCUUACUGUUCCGAAACAUCCUCUUCAAGGUCUACCGACUUCACGGCGAACACUCUACCGUCGAUUUUGCUCACGGCUUUGCUUACUGUUCCGAAACAUCCCCUUCCGAUGUAAGAACCUCGAAUCCAAGAAGAUGAGGAAGAAGUGUUUGUGUUUGUGAUGCUCUGUUUCUCCAUGUGUGCUGCUUGGUUUGCUAACUAACUUUCGUGUGUAAAUUCUCGAGGAC
rnacentral:lncRNA from 1 species